UGGGCGCAAGCCUGAUGCAGCCAUGCCGCGUGUGUGAAGAAGGCCUUCGGGUUGUAAAGCACUUUCAGUCAGGAGGAAAGGUUAGUAGUUAAUACCUGCUAGCUGUGACGUUACUGACAGAAGAAGCACCGGCUAACUCCGUGCCAGCAGCCGCGGUAAUACGGAGGGUGCGAGCGUUAAUCGGAAUUACUGGGCGUAAAGCGUACGCAGGCGGUUUGUUAAGCGAGAUGUGAAAGCCCCGGGCUCAACCUGGGAACUGCAUUUCGAACUGGCAAACUAGAGUGUGAUAGAGGGUGGUAGAAUUUCAGGUGUAGCGGUGAAAUGCGUAGAGAUCUGAAGGAAUACCGAUGGCGAAGGCAGCCACCUGGGUCAACACUGACGCUCAUGUACGAAAGCGUGGGGAGCAAACAGGAUUAGAUACCCUGGUAGUCCACGCCGUAAACGAUGUCUACUAGAAGCUCGGAGCCUCGGCUCUGUUUUUCAAAGCUAACGCAUUAAGUAGACCGCCUGGGGAGUACGGCCGCAAGGUUAAAACUCAA
rnacentral:rRNA from 1 species